GUGCCAGCAGCCGCGGUAAGACGUAGGGCGCAAGCGUUGUCCGGAUUUAUUGGGCGUAAAGAGCUCGUAGGCGGCUGGUCGCGUCGACUGUGAAAUCCCACGGCUCAACUGUGUGGUCUGCAGUCGAUACGGGCUGGCUGGAGUUCGGUAGGGGAGACUGGAAUUCCUGGUGUAGCGGUGAAAUGCGCAGAUAUCAGGAGGAACACCGGUGGCGAAGGCGGGUCUCUGGGCCGAUACUGACGCUGAGGAGCGAAAGCGUGGGGAGCGAACAGGAUUAGAUACCCUGGUAGUCCACGCUGUAAACGUUGGGCGCUAGGUGUGGGGGGCCUCUCCGGCCUUCUGUGCCGCAGCUAACGCAUUAAGCGCCCCGCCUGGGGAGUACGGCCGCAAGGCUAAAACUCAAAGGAAUUGACGG
rnacentral:rRNA from 1 species